GCCGAGAUGGCGGAACUGGCAGACGCGCAUGGUUCAGGACUAUGUCUCCCUAACCGGAGGUGGAGGUUCGACUCCUCUUCUCGGCA
rnacentral:tRNA from 1 species